ensembl:snRNA U2 U2 spliceosomal RNA
AUCGCUUCUUGGCCUUUUAGCUAAGAUUAGGUGUAGUAUCUGUUCUUAUCAGUUUAAUAUCUGAUAUUGUCCUCUAUCUGAGGACAAUAUAUUAAAUGGAUUUUUGGAGUAGGGAGUUGAAAUAGGAGCUUGCUCCGUCCACUCCAUGCAUCGACCUGGUAUUGCAGUACUUCCAGGAAUGGUGCACGCUCC